rnacentral:rRNA from 1 species
UACGUAGGGGGCAAGCGUUGUCCGGAAUCAUUGGGCGUAAAGCGCGUGUAGGCGGUUCGAUAAGUCUGCUGUGAAAGUCCAGGGCUCAACCCUGGAAAGCCGGUGGAUACUGUCGGACUAGAGUACGGAAGAGGCGAGUGGAAUUCCCGGUGUAGUGGUGAAAUGCGUAGAGAUCGGGAGGAACACCAGUGGCGAAGGCGGCUUGCUGGGCCGGACCUGACGCUGAGACGCGAAGGCGUGGGGAGCGAACGGG